rnacentral:rRNA from 1 species
GAUGAACGCUGGCGGCGUGCCUAAUACAUGCAAGUCGAGCGAACAGACGAGGAGCUUGCUCCUCUGACGUUAGCGGCGGACGGGUGAGUAACACGUGGAUAACCUCCCUAUAAGACUGGGAUAACUUCGGGAAACCGGAGCUAAUACCGGAUAAUAUAUUGAACCGCAUGGUUCAAUAGUGAAAGACGGUUUUGCUGUCACUUAUAGAUGGAUCCGCGCUGCAUUAGCUGGUUGGUAAGGUAACGGCUUACCAAGGCAACGAUGCGUAGCCGACCUGAGAGGGUGGUAGGCCACACUGGAGCUGGGACGCCGUCCAGGCUCCUACGGUAGGCAGCAGUAGGGAAUCUUCCGCAAUGGGCGGAAGCUUUGCGCAGCAACGCCGCGUGUGUGAUGAAAGUCUUCGGAUCGUAAAACCCUGUUAUUAGGGAAGAACAAAUUUGGAAGGAACUAUGCACGGCUUGACGGUACCUAAUCAGAAAGCCACGGCUAACUACGUG